CCUCCCCCGGCAGCUCUGUGGCCGACUUGGGUUCCGCGGGCGGCGGAGCGGGCGCGCGCUCCGGGGGUCGCGCGGCUGCCGAGAAGGGCGAGCGCGCGCGGGGAGGGAGUGGAGGCGUAGGGGGGCGGGGGUACGGCUCGCUCGCUCGCAAGAUGGCGGACGAGGACGGGGAAGGGAUUCACCCCUCAGCCCCUCACAGGAACGGAGGUGGCGGCGGCGGUGGGGGCUCUGGGCUCCACUGCGCGGGGAACGGCGGCGGGGGAGGCGGCGGCCCGCGGGUCGUGCGCAUCGUCAAGUCCGAGUCCGGCUACGGCUUCAACGUGCGGGGCCAAGUGAGCGAGGGCGGGCAACUGCGGAGCAUCAACGGGGAGCUGUACGCGCCGCUGCAGCAUGUGAGCGCCGUGCUGCCCGGGGGGGCGGCCGACCGGGCCGGGGUGCGCAAGGGGGACCGCAUCCUGGAGGUGAACGGCGUGAAUGUUGAGGGGGCGACACACAAGCAGGUGGUGGACCUGAUCCGAGCAGGCGAGAAGGAAUUGAUCUUGACAGUGUUGUCUGUGCCUCCACAUGAGGCAGAUAACCUAGAUCCCAGUGAAGACUCGUUGGGACAAUCAUUUUAUGAUUACACAGAAAAGCAAGCUGUGCCCAUAUCGGUCCCCACAUACAAACAUGUGGAGCAGAAUGGUGAGAAGUUUGUGGUAUACAAUGUUUAUAUGGCAGGGAGGCAGCUGUGUUCUAAGCGGUACCGGGAGUUUGCUAUCCUACACCAGAACCUGAAGAGAGAGUUUGCCAACUUUACAUUUCCCCGACUUCCAGGGAAGUGGCCAUUCUCUUUAUCAGAACAGCAAUUAGAUGCCCGACGUCGGGGGUUGGAAGAAUAUCUAGAAAAAGUAUGCUCAAUACGUGUCAUUGGUGAGAGUGACAUCAUGCAGGAAUUCCUAUCAGAAUCAGAUGAGAACUACAAUGGUGUGUCCGACGUAGAACUGAGAGUAGCAUUACCAGAUGGAACAACAGUUACAGUCAGGGUUAAAAAGAACAGUACCACAGACCAAGUGUAUCAGGCUAUUGCAGCAAAGGUUGGCAUGGACAGUACAACGGUGAAUUACUUUGCCUUAUUUGAAGUGAUCAAUCAUUCCUUUGUACGUAAGCUGGCACCUAAUGAAUUUCCUCAUAAACUCUACGUCCAGAAUUACACAUCAGCUGUGCCAGGCACCUGCCUGACCAUUCGAAAGUGGCUUUUUACGACAGAAGAAGAAAUCCUCUUAAAUGACAAUGACCUUGCUGUUACCUACUUUUUUCAUCAGGCCGUUGAUGAUGUGAAAAAAGGUUAUAUCAAAGCAGAGGAAAAGUCCUACCAGUUACAGAAGCUGUAUGAACAAAGGAAAAUGGUCAUGUAUCUCAACAUGCUGAGGACUUGUGAGGGCUACAAUGAAAUCAUCUUCCCCCACUGCGCCUGUGACUCCAGGAGGAAGGGGCACGUUAUCACAGCCAUCAGCAUCACGCACUUUAAACUGCAUGCCUGCACUGAAGAAGGACAGCUGGAGAACCAGGUAAUAGCAUUUGAAUGGGACGAGAUGCAGCGAUGGGAUACGGAUGAAGAAGGAAUGGCCUUCUGCUUCGAGUAUGCACGAGGAGAGAAGAAGCCUCGAUGGGUUAAAAUCUUCACACCAUAUUUUAAUUAUAUGCACGAAUGCUUCGAGAGGGUGUUCUGUGAGCUCAAGUGGAGAAAAGAGGAAUACUAGUUAGAGACUGGUUAUUCUUCCAGCCUUUGGAUGCUGAAUAGACUAUACGAGAAAAGCCCUGCUUCUUCCUCUGUCUAGAGGGUAGCUGUUGGCUGCAGGCUGUUCCACCUCCUGUGACUUCAUGGACCCUCCUCUGCCUGGUUUUUGUUUUUGUUUUUUAAUCCAAUCACUGCCUAUGUUGUUCCUGACCCAGAAGGGCAGCUGUCCCCAGUUUUAGCUGUUCUGACUAGAUGACUCCUGACAGAGCCCGUCGGGGCUAACCAGGAAUGCAUGUGUGUGGGAAGGUUUCCACUAUUGCUUUGCUGCUGUCCUUAUGCCAGUGCUGGAGAAUUCGGAAGAUUCUGAAUAAUUAGCUACUUAUUCUCAAAGAAAAUGUUUCUGAAGUUCAGAAGAACAUUUUCCGGAUGGCGAGGUCACAGCAGAGGGAUGUGGCCACCUAGCCUUCCCUCACCCCUCCUCUUCACCCUCAUCCUCUCACCCCUUCCGUCUCCUGUGUCAGAGUAACCAUUAACACAAAAGAAGAGAAAAAGGAAAAAAGUCAUUAUGUUCAAAAGCCCUAAACUAAAUACUAUUAAUAAUCCCUCUGAGUUUCAUGUCUCUGGAAUUGAGCUGGUAGAGAACGACAGAUUGGUCCGCACCGGGAGCAGCUGAGUUCAGACAGGAAAUUAAGCCCAACCACGCGCCAAAGGUGUCUUUAUCCUCUCACCUGGGCCUCACACCAACAGACUCUCCUUGUACUAUAUUUUUAAAACUGGAACUAUGAACUCCAUCCAUUUGCACUGUUCAGACAUAUAUAUGUAUGUAUGUAAAAAUUAUAUAUACACAAAUUAGCUGCACGUAUAUACAUAUAUAUAUUUCUUUUUAAAUUUCAUAUUGAUGGCAGUACCUUUUUUAGCUUGUGUUUUUACACACCUUUCACUAGAAUUCAUGACUUCUCUCUUGCUCUCUUUAUUUUGAAACAAACUUUAAAAAGGAAAAAAAAAUAUUUUACUGGGAAAAUACCUCUCCUCAUGAAGGACUCGAAAAGUUUACAACCUGCUUGGGUUUUUUCCCCCCUUUUUUGUAUUGAGUGAAGAUUCUGGCUUAUGGGUUGGCAUAGAGUCUGAGGAGCAAGGAGCAUAGUUUCUUUAUCUUCCAAGAAGCUGCUGGGAGGAGACCGAGGUGUAUUUCUCAAGGGCAGCAAGACUUGCAGAUCUGCAGGGAGAGUCUGAAGACUUGGUGUGGUCCUCGAUUCCAAGACAGCUUUCCUGGCCCAGCUCUCUCCCACUCACGGCUUUCUAGCCACACUCCCCAUCUCCUUCUUGCUUCCCGAGGGCCCCUUGUGUGCUCUCCACUGACCUAGAAUGGAGGGGAGAGGUGGGCUCAGGAGGUUGAUGCCACAGGAACCUGAAACAUUUCAUGGUUGUCAUUUCCCAUUUCUCCUUCUGAAGCAGGCAGAGUACUAGGGACCAGAGUUAAAGCCAAUACCUUUAGGCACAAAGAUUGGACUUAGGGGAAAGGAAGGAAGGAAUACCCUGUGUACCUAAGCUUUUCCCCACUCCAUUCCUGACCAGUAACCAUCCAUAACCAUUACAUUCUCUGUGACUUCCUUAAACAGCUGUGUUGGGGAGGAAUCUGACAGUGUCCCCAAGGCCUUGGGGAAAUUUACUCAGUGGUCUGGGCCAGCCAAACCAGUGCCCAUCCAAGCCAGCUGAGGACCCAGGAAGGACCAGUAGGGAUAUGGUCGGUUUGGGUUGGAUCUCAACUUCUAAUGAAAAGGAGACUGAAGGAAAGCCUUUCUGUCUCUCAAAGAGUUCCUCGUCUCACCUUGGGAUUUUGAGACCCAAGAGCUGCACCCAGGGCCUGGAGGGCCAGGCUUACCAGCUGGCAUCUCAUGUUGGGAUUUUGAGCCCUAAGAGCUGCACCCCAGGGCCUGGGGGGCCGGGCUCACCAGCUGGGGCAACACUCUCAGGCAGGCUCUGUAGAUACUGCACUGGGAGCUUGAAGUCAGACUCUGAUGCUGCUGAAACACAUCCACCAGCCUUCUUUUCUUUUUCCCUUCUCCACUCUCUACACAAAACCUCCACUGGGUGGCGUCUUUGGCUUUGUCUAACUGGGAGGCCACCGUACCAGGUUUAGUCACUCCACUGAGCAGUGGCGGGGUGGUUUGAAGUUCUGUUUUGGUGACUUGAUUUUGCAGAUCAUUGUGAGGCCACUUUUCUUUCUCACUCUGUUACCCUGGCGGCUGCUUGCCCCAGGACAGUUGUCCAUCAUACAGGACAUCUGUCUUCCCUCCCUUUCUCCAAACCCAGUUGGGAUCACAGUGCAGAACAUAGGAAUGCUCAAUGUUUAAAGGUGCAGACAGCGAUCCCCGAUUUGAAAGUUUUGAUACAGAAUUAGCUUCUUUUGGCUUAAGUGAAUUUAAUAAUGAGCCAGAGGGCCCUAGAAAGGAGAUCUGUUUCCCCACUCCAAGACGCCAAAGAGGCUUUUGGUGCCAGCUUUUUCCCACUGCAAACAGCAGCGGCUUGCCCCUGUGCCCUCAGACUGGGAGAGGAAUGGACAAAUCUGGGAGUCCGUGCAAUGUUCCCACUGCUGACCUCUGGGUGUGAGGUGUCAGGUGGGGGGAGGGUGCCCUUGGGUCUGAGGCCCCUUGGAGCGGGUGCCACUCUGUUCCUUUGGCAGAGCACACACUCGGUGCUUUGGAGACUGGGCAAGGGCACCACGCAUGGGUGGUUGGCCUGUUGGCAGAAUCUGUUUAGAAACAGCCCCUACUGGCUGUACCAGUAAAAGCUGCAGUGAGGACAGGGAAGGAGGGAGCCCCUGGCCAACAGUACCUUUCCCCCUUCCUCCCACAGCAGGCCUCUUGGACCGGCGCGCAGAGGUCACUGUGGCUCCAUAGGAUCAAGCUCUUUUUUGCAUGAAGCAGUGUUAGUGUGACACUCCUCCCCACCCCCCCACCCCCCCCAUACCCUUGUUCUGUACUUCCUCUCCCUAAUCCCUGCUAUGGUUCUCAGUCCUGGGUUCUGCCCAGGGAGCCCUCUGCCCAGUCUUCUUUUGCAGUUUGUCUCUGGAAAAUGGAGGGGCUCCCCUCCCCCCCUCCUUUGCCCCAGCAGAGCCUGCAGGGUCUUCCUGAUCUGUUGUCCUCCCCUCUACCACUCAGUUUCUAUCCUCUGGUAAAAGCUCAGAGUUUUGUAUAGAUCAGGGAAAAAUGCAGGCCCUGAGAAACCUGUCCCUGCAGAAAGGUUCCCUUGGGCCAUGCUUUGGGCUCUCUGCUCUUUAUAUUUUUAUUCUACUCUCCAUUUUCCUGCCCUCCUCUUGCCCUCUGCCUAAGCUCAGCCCAGCUGUCUGCUGAGGGCAGCUCCUAGGCCUGGCCUGUCUAGUUUUCUCCUGUCGUCACCCAGGCUAGUAGCUUUGGUUAUCCCCUUCUAGCUCCAAACCUAGUGCCUGGAGCUGCAGUACAGGGCAUUGACAGGAGGGGACACAUCUCUCUCCUCUCAGAGUUUGCCCCCUUACAGCCUGGCUCUGAGGAGGCAGUUUUCCUCAAGGGGACUGUAUCCUGGCUGACCCAAAGUCUCCAGACCUGGAGGGACUACUGUGCCCCCCUUGUCUCCAUCGUGCUUUCUGGCUGGAUCCGUUCAGAGACCAUUUGGACUGUUGGAGCCCAGCACCCCACUAGAUUCCCCUGCCAGAGUCAGUGUGUCCCAUUAGCUUCCCUUUGAAGGGGGGUGGGGGAACAGUGUGGCUGGUGCUCGGAGAGAGAAGAGCGACAGCCGCGGAACUCGCGCAUUCCAGUCCUACCACCCGCCUGCCUCCCCUCUGCCCCCCAGCGCUGUGCCAGGCUUCACCCCGGGGCGGCAGCUCAGUCCUCAGCAAUAAUCUUGAGUGUGGGGGUGCUUAGGGUUCUGGGGAAGGGCAGGAGCAAAGAGGGCAGUGCUGUGGGCUGGAGGCACUUGGCCAGCUGCUAAAUUAGACCCCGGUUUUAUAUCAUGCCCCCUUUUUAAGCCGGUGAGCUGGGCUUCAGUUUUCCCCAGGCCAUGCACACUUUUAAUUUAUUUGACAAACUCUAAUUGUAUUUUCACUGCAGUAUCUUGUAUUUUUUAUUUGUGAUUUAAGAAAUGUGAAGAGAAAAUACACAGACACAUAAUGGCUAACAGUGUUUCUUUCAUUCCUUGUUCUACAGCUAACCACUCUAAAAUUGUUUGGUAAUGUCACUUAGUGUAAUUAAUUGUAACAUAUUCUUUUAAAUAAAUUGAUUUAUUGAUGAAACUA